AAGUAUGAAAUAAAUUUUAUAAUUAGUUUCGACCUAAAAAUAGGGGUACCCCCUUACUUA
rnacentral:tRNA from 1 species